rnacentral:rRNA from 1 species
UGGGGAAUAUUGGACAAUGGGCGCAAGCCUGAUCCAGCCAUGCCGCGUGAGUGAUGAAGGCCUUAGGGUUGUAAAGCUCUUUUGUCCGGGAAGAUAAUGACUGUACCGGAAGAAUAAGCCCCGGCUAACUUCGUGCCAGCAGCCGCGGUAAUACGAAGGGGGCUAGCGUUGCUCGGAAUCACUGGGCGUAAAGGGCGCGUAGGCGGACUCUUAAGUCGGGGGUGAAAGCCCAGGGCUCAACCCUGGAAUUGCCUUCGAUACUGAGAGUCUUGAGUUCGGAAGAGGUUGGUGGAACUGCGAGUGUGGAGGUGAAAUUCGUAGAUAUUCGCAAGAACACCGGUGGCGAAGGCGGCCAACUGGUCCGAUACUGACGCUGAGGCGCGAAAGCGUGGGGAGCAAACAGG